CAGGAACAGAGAAAACCCGAGUGUCCCCUCUGUCCCGGGGAAAGGGUGGUACAAGGUGCUGCCGUCAUGUGGCCUGGAGCGAAGGGGCCGGCCAUUCCACAGACACGUCGGAGAGGCGCUGGCAUCCUAACCUAGAGUAAACGAGAAAAGAGACACCGGCAAAAUGCAUCGUAAAGCCACAGGAAAGGAGGAGCUGGCCAGGAACUGGCGGAAACAGAAGCAACAGGGAGGCUCCGUCGAAACAGGUGCUCUCCCACAGAGGGUGUGGACGCCGCCUCGCUGGACCUUGGAUUUGCCAAGUCCUUCCCGUGUUUCAAGCAAAGCU
rnacentral:lncRNA from 1 species